rnacentral:rRNA from 1 species
GAUGGACCCGCGGUGCAUUAGCUAGUUGGUGAGGUAACGGCUCACCAAGGCAACGAUGCAUAGCCGACCUGAGAGGGUGAUCGGCCACACUGGGACUGAGACACGGCCCAGACUCCUACGGGAGGCAGCAGUAGGGAAUCUUCGGCAAUGGACGAAAGUCUGACCGAGCAACGCCGCGUGAGUGAAGAAGGUUUUCGGAUCGUAAAACUCUGUUGUUAGAGAAGAACAAGGAUGAGAGUAAAAUGUUCAUCCCUUGACGGUAUCUAACCAGAAAGCCACGGCUAACUACGUGCCAGCAGCCGCGGUAAUACGUAGGUGGCAAGCGUUGUCCGGAUUUAUUGGGCGUAAAGCGAGCGCAGGCGGUUUCUUAAGUCUGAUGUGAAAGCCCCCGGCUCAACCGGGGAGGGUCAUUGGAAACUGGGAGACUUGAGUGCAGAAGAGGAGAGUGGAAUUCCAUGUGUAGCGGUGAAAUGCGUAGAUAUAUGGAGGAGCACCAGUGGCGAAGGCGGCUCUCUGGUCUGUAACUGACGCUGAGGCUCGAAAGCGUGGGGAGCGAACAGGAUUAGAUACCCUGGUAGUCCACGCC